AUGGAGCCGCCACCUUCUCCGCUGGGCGCCGGCGCCUGCGCUGUCUGCUGCAUGUGCGGCGACCGCGGCCUGCCGCACGAGCUGCUCCGCUGCAAGCUCUGCCGCGUCCGCCUGCAGCACAGAUACUGCAGCGAUCUGUACCCGAGGGCCACGGCGUACAGGAGGUGCAACUGGUGCCUGAGGGAGCCCGCAGAAGCCCACGCCCAAGCGCACGCUCAAGCUCAACCGGUGGCUAGCAAGAAGGCGGAGAAACGGAAGAUGGUGCAAUCAACGGAGACGUCCACCUCCGACGAGGAGGCGCGGCGGCAGCACGAGGCCGGAUGCGCCACUGCUACGAGGUCCAGGAGAUCGGCCGCGGAGGUUGGUCAGCCGGUCAAGAAGCCCAAGGUCGACGAGAGGCCACCGGGCACGAAGGCGAAGGGGAACAGCGGCGACAAGAAACCUAAGGUCGACGAGUGGCCGGCGCUGCCCCCGUCGCCGGGCACGGCGGCGAAGGGAAACAGCGGCGACAAGAAGCCGAUGCAGGCGGGGAAGCUGGCGCGGCAGGGUAGGGUCAAGGUGAGGCGGUACAAGCUCCUGGCAGAGGUGAUUAGCUGCUAG
rnacentral:rRNA from 1 species